rnacentral:rRNA from 1 species
GGUACCUCCUAAUACGAGGUACUGCUGACGGUAUCUGCAGAAUAAGCACGGGCUAACUACGUGCCAGCAGCCGCGGUAAUACGUAGGGUGCAAGCGUUAAUCGGAAUUACUGGGCGUAAAGCGUGUGUAGGCGGUUCGGAAAGAAAGAUGUGAAAUCCCAGGGCUCAACCUUGGAACUGCAUUUUUAACUGCCGAGCUAGAGUAUGUCAGAGGGGGGUAGAAUUCCACGUGUAGCAGUGAAAUGCGUAGAUAUGUGGAGGAAUACCGAUGGCGAAGGCAGCCCCCUGGGAUAAUACUGACGCUCAGACACGAAAGCGUGGGGAGCAAACAGGAUUAGAUACCCUGGUAGUCCACGCCCUAAACGAUGUCAACUAGCUGUUGGGGCCGUUAGGCCUUAGUAGCGCAGCUAACGCGUGAAGUUGACCGCCUGGGGAGUACGGUCGCAAGAUUAAAACUCAAAGGAAUUGACGGGGACCCGCACAAGCGGUGGAUGAUGUGGAUUAAUUCGAUGCAACGCGAAAAACCUUACCUACCCUUGACAUGUCUGGAAUGCCGAAGAGAUUUGGCAGUGCUCGCAAGAGAACCGGAACACAGGUGCUGCAUGGCUGUCGUCAGCUCGUGUCGUGAGAUGUUGGGUUAAGUCCCGCAACGAGCGCAACCCUUGUCAUUAGUUGCUACGCAAGAGCACUCUAAUGAGACUGCCGGUGACAAACCGGAGGAAGGUGGGGAUGACGUCAAGUCCUCAUGGCCCUUAUGGGUAGGGCUUCACACGUCAUACAAUGGUCGGGACAGAGGGUCGCCAACCCGCGAGGGGGAGCCAAUCUCAGAAACCCGAUCGUAGUCCGGAUCGCAGUCUGCAACUCGACUGCGUGAAGUCGGAAUCGCUAGUAAUCGCGGAUCAGAAUGUCGCGGUGAAUACGUUCCCGGGUCUUGUACACACCGCCCGUCACACCAUGGGAGUGGGUUUCACCAGAAGUAGGUAGCCUAACCGUAAGGAGGGCGCUAC